AUUGAACGCUGGCGGCAGGCCUAACACAUGCAAGUCGAGCGGUAGCACAGAGAGCUUGCUCUCGGGCGACGAGCGGCGGACGGGUGAGUAAUGUCUGGGAAACUGCCUGAUGGAGGGGGAUAACUACUGGAAACGGUAGCUAAUACCGCAUAACGUCGCAAGACCAAAGAGGGGGACCUUCGGGCCUCUUGCCAUCAGAUGUGCCCAGAUGGGAUUAGCUAGUAGGUGGGGUAACGGCUCACCUAGGCGACGAUCCCUAGCUGGUCUGAGAGGAGGGCGAGCCACACGGGAACUGGGACACGGUCCAGACGCCCACGGGGGACAGCAGUGGGGAAUAUUGCACAAUGGGCGCAAGCCUGAUGCAGCCAUGCCGCGUGUAUGAAGAAGGCCUUCGGGUUGUAAAGUACUUUCAGCGGGGAGGAAGGUGUUGAGGUUAAUAACCUCAGCAAUUGACGUUACCCGCAGAAGAAGCACCGGCUAACUCCGUGCCAGCCGCCGCCGUAA
rnacentral:rRNA from 1 species